rnacentral:lncRNA from 1 species
GAUAAACGGAAUUGUUAACUAAACUCGCCGGAAUAUUCCCUUGAAGAGAGUUGUUUCUCAUUGUUAGUUCGAUUAAGUUGACUGGAAAUGUCACCGUCGACGUCGCCGGAAGGUCGCCGGAGAUGAGGUUGUUGCUGACGUCGAGGAAGAGCCGGGAGUUAUAGAGGUGGAGACGACGUCGUUACGGAAGUGUUUGAGAGAUUGUAUGUCUUCC